AAGCAUCCAAUUGUGCUGGAGACCUCAUCUGAGGAGAUCACCAGCUUGGUAACACAUGGAUCUGUUCAUCUGCAAGCUGGCAGAAGAUAAUUGCUUACCUUCAGAGAGUUGCUCACUAUUGGCCCACCCAUGGAAUGCGCAAGCUCUGGAUGGAAACCCUGAUAAACCAGGAGGAAAAUCAAAGAUGCCCUUUAACCUCAGAAGAUACUUUCAGGAGCCUGGGAGCUAGCAGUUGUUUUGGACUGUUCUCCUUCAACCUGGUGAGGCCAUGAAACUUGCUUCCAUCGACAGUGUGACAAAUCCAUUGCUAUUGAUUGAUUGCAUUACUAUACAAUAAGGUGGUAAAAGCUUCCCACAAUCAACUACACAAACACCACAGGAUGCUACACGUCAAUGAAUCAGUAAAAUAUUGGAAUGGUAUUGCACAUUGGCGCGAAAAGGCCAAGGAGUCACAGGAUGAAAGGUAAAAUCAAGGCUCAAUGGAAGAAACAGAGAAAGUUAUUAUGAAUGGGAAUGUGUCAAACAGAAAUGGAGUGAAGAGCAAAAUAUCCCAGGAGCAUACGUCACAUACCUCUUGGAAGAUCAAAACCAUAUGUCUCAAAUAUCAACAUUUUGAACUGUUUACUGAAUUUAUUGCCACAAAUAUUCAGAAAACCUAACAUUAGCAUUUUUGUAAUACUGUCUCUAAUGAUUUGUUACA